AUAAGGAUUGGCUCUGAAGAUUGAGAUAGUCGGGCUUGAUUGGGAAACAAUAACAUGGUUUAUGUGCUCGUUCUGGGUAAAUAGAGUUUCUAGCAUUUAUGUUAGUUACUUGUUCCCCGGAUAGUUUAGUUACGUAGCCAAUUGUGGAACUUUCUUGCUAAAAUUUUUAAGAAUACUAUUUGGGUUAAACCAAUUAGUUCUUAUUAAUUAUAACGAUUAUCAAUUAACAAUCAAUUCAGAACUGGCACGGACUUGGGGAAUCCGACUGUCUAAUUAAAACAAAGCAUUGUGAUGGCCCUAGCGGGUGUUGACACAAUGUGAUUUCUGCCCAGUGCUCUGAAUGUCAAAGUGAAGAAAUUCAAGUAAGCGCGGGUCAACGGCGGGAGUAACUAUGACUCUCUUAAGGUAGCCAAAUGCCUCGUCAUCUAAUUAGUGACGCGCAUGAAUGGAUUAACGAGAUUCCUGUCCCUAUCUACUAUCUAGCGAAACCACAGCCAAGGGAACGGGCUUGGAAUAAUUAGCGGGGAAAGAAGACCCUUUUGAGCUUGACUCUAAUCUGGCAGUGUAAGGAGACAUAAGAGGUGUAGAAUAAGUGGGAGAUAUUAGACCUCGGUUUGGUAUCGUCAAUGAAAUACCACUACUCUUAUUGUUUCCUUACUUACUUGAUUAAAUGGAACGUGUAUCAUUUCCUAGCCAUUAUACGGAUAUAUUUAUUAUAUCUUAUGGUAUUGGGUUUUGAUGCAAGCUUCUUGAUCAAAGUAUCACGAGUUUGUUAUAUAAUCGCAAACAAAUUCUUUAAUAAAACGAUGCAUUUAUGUAUUUUUGAUUUGAAAAUUUGGUAUAACUCCAAUUACUCAGGUAUGAUCCAAUUCAAGGACAUUGCCAGGUAGGGAGUUUGACUGGGGCGGUACAUCUCUCAAAUAAUAACGGAGGUGUCCCAAGGCCAGCUCAGUGCGGACAGAAACCACACAUAGAGCAAAAGGGCAAAUGCUGACUUGAUCUCGGUGUUCAGUACACACAGGGACAGCAAAAGCUCGGCCUAUCGAUCCUUUUGGUUUAAAGAGUUUUUAACAAGAGGUGUCAGAAAAGUUACCAUAGGGAUAACUGGCUUGUGGCGGCCAAGCGUUCAUAGCGACGUCGCUUUUUGAUCCUUCGAUGUCGGCUCUUCCUAUCAUUGUGAAGCAAAAUUCACCAAGCGUUGGAUUGUUCACCCAUGCAAGGGAACGUGAGCUGGGUUUAGACCGUCGUGAGACAGGUUAGUUUUACCCUACUAAUGACAAAACGUUGUUGCGACAGCAUUCCUGCGUAGUACGAGAGGAACCGCAGGUACGGACCAAUGGCACAAUACUUGUUCGAGCGAACAGUGGUAUGACGCUACGUCCGUUGGAUUAUGCCUGAACGCCUCUAAGGUCGUAUCCGUGCUGGACUGCAAUGAUAAAUAAGGGGCAAUUUGCAUUGUAUGGCUUCUAAACCAUUUAAAGUUUAUAAUUUACUUUAUAAACGACAAUGGAUGUGAUGCCAAUGUAAUUUGUAACAUAGUAAAUUGGGAGGAUCUUCGAUCACCUGAUGCCGCGCUAGUUACAUAUAAAAGCAUUAUUUAAUACAAUGACAAAGCCUAGAAUCAAUUGUAAACGACUUUUGUAACAGGCAAGGUGUUGUAAGUGGUUGAGCAGCUGCCAUACUGCGAUCCACUGAAGCUUAUCCUUUGCUUGAUGAUUCGA
rnacentral:rRNA from 1 species